rnacentral:rRNA from 1 species
GUCGAACGAGAGACCUUCGGGUCUCUAGUGGCGAACGGGUGAGUAACACGUAGGGAACCUGCCCGUGCACCGGGAAUACGCUCUGGAAACGGAGAACAAAUCCCGAUGUACAGGAAGGAGGCAUCUUCUUUCUGUGAAACAUCCUUUAGGGGAUGGGGCGCGGAUGGACCUGCGGUGCAUUAGUUGGUUGGCGGGGUAAAGGCCCACCAAGACGAUGAUGCAUAGCCGGCCUGAGAGGGCGGACGGCCACAUUGGGACUGAGACACGGCCCAGACUCCUGCGGGAGGCAGCAGUAGGGAAUUUUCGUCAAUGGGCGCAAGCCUGAACGAGCGAUGCCGCGUGAGUGAAGAAGGCCUUCGGGUCGUAAAGCUCUGUUGCGGGGGAAAAAAGGCAGCAUCAGGAAAUGGGUGCUGACUGAUGGUGCCCCGCCAGAAAGUCACGGCUAACUACGUGCCAGCAGCCGCGGUAAUACGUAGGUGGCGAGCGUUAUCCGGAAUGAUUGGGCGUAAAGGGUGCGCAGGCGGUCCUGCAAGUCUGGAGUGAAACGCAUGAGCUCAACUCAUGCAUGGCUUUGGAAACUGGAGGACUGGAGAGCAGGAGAGGGCGGUGGAACUCCAUGUGUAGCGGUAAAAUGCGUAGAUAUAUGGAAGAACACCAGUGGCGAAGGCGGCCGCCUGGCCUGUUGCUGACGCUGAGGCACGAAAGCGUGGGGAGCAAAUAGGAUUAGAUACCCUAGUAGUCCACGCCGUAAACGAUGAGGACCAAGUGUUGGGGGUGA